UCCUCUGAAUCUCCAAUUCUGGUUACUACAAUUAAUAGUGCUUUCUAUUAUAAUAAAAAAAAUCCAAAAAUUUUAAUCAAUACUUUAACCAUUAAACUGUCGAUUAUGAAACAGUAAACGUUAUGCCCCGUGCCAUACCAGCAACUAUUUCAAAACAAAAAGCAACUACUAGAAGUAGGAAGGAUUACUCGAAAUGCUAACAAAACACAACAAAUUGUUUCUGUUUUUGAUGGCA
rnacentral:lncRNA from 1 species